rnacentral:rRNA from 1 species
UUCGGGGUGGAUCAGUGGCGAACGGGUGAGUAAUACGUGGGCAAUCUGCCCUGCACUCUGGGACAAGCCCUGGAAACGGGGUCUAAUACCGGAUACGACCUUCCUCCGCAUGGGGGUUGGUGGAAAGCUCCGGCGGUGCAGGAUGAGCCCGCGGCCUAUCAGCUUGUUGGUGGGGUAAUGGCCUACCAAGGCGACGACGGGUAGCCGGCCUGAGAGGGCGACCGGCCACACUGGGACUGAGACACGGCCCAGACUCCUACGGGAGGCAGCAAUGGGGAAUAUUGCACAAUGGGCGAAAGCCUGAUGCAUCGACGCCGCGUGAGGGAUGACGGCCUUCGGGUUGUAAACCUCUUUCAGCAGGGAAGAAGCGCAGGUGACGGUACCUGCAGAAGAAGCACCGGCUAACUACGUGCCAGCAGCCGCGGUAAUACGUACGGUGCGAGCGUUGUCCGGAAUUAUUGGGCGUAAAGAGCUCGUAUGCGGCCUGUCGCGUCAGAUGUGAAAGCCCGGGGCUUAACCCCGGGUCUGCAUUCGAUACGGGCAGGCUAGAGUGUGGUAGGGGAGAUCGGAAUUCCUGGUGUAGCGGUGAGGUGCUCAGAUAUCAGGAG